UAGAGUUUGAUCAUGGCUCAGAGCGAACGCUGGCGGCAGGCUUAACACAUGCAAGUCGAGCGGGCGUAGCAAUACGUCAGCGGCAGACGGGUGAGUAACGCGUGGGAACAUACCUCUUGGUUCGGAACAACACAGGGAAACUUGUGCUAAUACCGGAUAAGCCCUUACGGGGAAAGAUUUAUCGCCGAGAGAUUGGCCCGCGUCUGAUUAGCUAGUUGGUAGGGUAAUGGCCUACCAAGGCGACGAUCAGUAGCUGGUCUGAGAGGAUGAUCAGCCACAUUGGGACUGAGACACGGCCCAAACUCCUACGGGAGGCAGCAGUGGGGAAUAUUGGACAAUGGGGGCAACCCUGAUCCAGCCAUGCCGCGUGAGUGAUGAAGGCCCUAGGGUUGUAAAGCUCUUUUGUGCGGGAAGAUAAUGACGGUACCGCAAGAAUAAGCCCCGGCUAACUUCGUGCCAGCAGCCGCGGUAAUAUCGCCC
rnacentral:rRNA from 1 species